UACGUAGGGGGCGAGCGUUAUCUGGAAUUACUGGGCGUAAAGCGCACGCAGGCGGUUCGCCAAGUUUGGAGUGACAGUUGUCGGCUCAACCGACAAAGGACUUCAAAAACUGGUGAACUUGAGGACGAGAGAGGAACAUGGAACUCCAGGUGUAGUAGUGAAAUGCGUAGAUAUCUGGAAGAACACUAAUGGCGAAGGCAAUGUUCUGGCUCGUUUCUGACGCUCAGGUGCGAAAGCCAGGGGAGCGAACGGG
rnacentral:rRNA from 1 species